rnacentral:lncRNA from 1 species
UCUGACCCCGCCAGCCACGCCUCCGCGCGCCGCCGGCCGGCGCGGGCGGGGGUCGCUGCGCUCCAGUGCGUCUGCGCGGCCGCCGAGGCUCGGCUGCUAAACUCCAGGAGUGCGCUCCAGUGCGUCUGCGCAGCCGCCGCGGCUCCGGGUUGCUAGGCUCCAGGCCUGCGCUCCAGUGCGUCUGCGCGGCCGCCGCGGCUCUGGGCUACUGAGCUCCAGGGCUGCGCUCCAGUGCGUCUGCGCAGCCGCAGCGGCUCCGGGUUGCUAGGUUCCAGGGCUGCGCUCCAGUGCGUCUGCGCAGCCGCAGAGGCUCCGGGUUGCUAGGUUCCAGGGCUGCGCUCCAGUGCGUCUGCGCGGCCGCCGCGGCUCCGGGCUGCAGAGCUGCAGGGCUGCAGGGCUCCGGGGCUGCGCUCCAGUGCGGCUCCGGGCUGCAUGGCUCCAGGGAGACCCCGCCCGCCCGCGCUCUCCGCCUUCCUCCAGGGCCUUCUGAAACUGUAUCCAUCAAGCACCUGGCCAAGUGCCCGGCGUUGGGAGGUGUUCGGUGUAGUAUGCUGAGAGCCAUGUUUUCUGGCACUGGAAACAAGACACCUGGUUGUGCAGUGUGUGCAGUGCACAAACACGCUGGGCCAAGGGGCUACCUACUGAAAACAACCAACCAACCAUUUUGA